UUCAAUGUGGUGGAGGUGCACCGUAAGGAACUAUUGUUGUUACUUUUUGGUUUUUCUAUUUGGUUUCAAUUGAAGAAUUAAAAAGUUAUAGAUCAAGGUCCAUCGUAAGGGCUAAUUAAGGUUGUUUUUUCUUACCUUUUGGUUGGUUUCAUGUAGGUUUGUAAACUUUUUUGGGUUUUAUCAUGUUGAUUUGCUUUUUGUUGCUCACCUGGUCAGUGGAAAGUUAAUGGAUGAAUUUGAAGUACAAUUUACUUUUUGGUGAACUUUUGAUAGGAUAAAGUUGUUCGAUUGUUUAGUGUGUGAAAUUGCUUUCAAUUGUUGCUAUAUAAGGGCGUGUUUCUGACUUUUGAGAGGCAAUUCUCAUUCACACUGAUAUGCUAUCUGGUCUGUGCUAUCUCCUAAUUGCUAUUUUCAUCUUGCUGUGAUCUCUGUCCGGUUUAUUCUAAUGGCUUCAUUUGCUGCUGUGGACAAUGGGAAUCAUAUUUUGGGAGCCAAUCUUAGUGAUACCAAUCUCUAAAAUUUGCAUCGAGAUUGCAGGCAAGAAGUCCAAAGUACAUAUCUUUUCUCAACCAUCAUCGCAUAUACAUACAUGAGCUAUCUCACUUGAAGCAGAUUGCUGGAAACUAAACAAGGUCAAAGGGGAAGAGAUAGCAGCAUUAUAAAGCUAGAGAUCUUAUAGAUGCAGAUUUUAAGCAACAAGACAAACACAGGGAAUGAUCCAAGUGUACAAGAAAUGGGGCAGUUGAACCACAAGAGAAAAUUUCCUUAAAAAAUGGUAUUUUGAUGUUAUAUUUGCUCCCCUCAAAAUUUGUAUUAUGCCUACUCUAAUCAAGCAUGGUUAAUUUUGUUUAAUGUGUUGAAUUUCCGCCCCUCGCCCAUAAUUUUUCUCGCCCCGUCCUUCCCUAGGGAAGAAGAUGCACUUCCUUUUCCUGUCUGAGUUAUACAAAUAGAAAAUCACAAUGCAAGCCCCAUCAAGAGAUGAAUGAGUAAAGGGAGUGAGUAUUAGAACAAAGACUACGCCAUAAAAGAGGAGGUUGACUCUGCUAUGCAGUAGUAUCGGAUGUAUUUUCAUAAAUGACAAUGGAACAUGAAACAAAGAGGUAUUCUGAUGACAGGAGAACAUCAUUUUAAAAGAAAUAUUGAUGAAUCAUACAGGUUAAUGUUCAUGAACAAUUGUCAAUUUUCCAUAUCUUUGAUGUACUGUGUUUUUCAUUCUUCCUUUGUUUUUUAUGAACCUUCAACUUUAUGCUUCUUUUUUCCUUAGUUUCAAACAAUGCUUCUUAUGUAACCUGUUUUCUACUUUGCCUUGUGAUAUGCAAAAUACUAAGCAGACAUUUAUGCUAGCAACCAGGACAGCAGAGGCUGAUUUGUUGCUCACAGUUUGUAUACUCUUGAUUGACUCUACCGAGCACUUCAUCUUAUUCAAAGUUAGUGGGAAUCAGGGACAUUUUACUUUGGUUAAGAUUUUCCUAAUCUUAGUUGUGCUGAUUGUGUUAGGUGAAAAAAUAUAUAUAUAACUGAAUGUAGGUGCAAUUUUUUUUACAUAUUGCGUUAUAUGUGUAUUAUGUUAAAAUAAAAUUUUAAUUAAAAUAUAAAAGCAUCUGUGCA